rnacentral:rRNA from 1 species
GGCGCGAAAACUUUACAAUGCUGGCAACAGCGAUAAGGGAACCUCGAGUGCCAGGUUACAAAUCUGGCUGUCGAGAUGCCUAAAAAGCAUUUCAUAGCAAGGGCCGGGCAAGACCGGUGCCAGCCGCCGCGGUAACACCGGCGGCUCGAGUGGUAACCGUUAUUAUUGGGUCUAAAGGGUCUGUAGCCGGCCGGAUAAGUCUCUUGAGAAAUCUGGCAGCUUAACUGUCAGGCUUUCAGGAGAUACUGUCUGGCUCGAGGCCGGGAGAGGUGAGAGGUACUUCAGGGGUAGGGGUGAAAUCUUGUAAUCCUUGAAGGACCACCAGUGGCGAAGGCGUCUCACCAGAACGGACCUGACGGCAAGGGACGAAAGCUAGGGGCACGAACCGGAUUAGAAACCCCUGUAGUCC